GCUAUAGGCUUUAUCAAUUGGCUAUUUUCCACACCUUGGUGAGGUAAAAGGCAGAGGUACAGUUCGAGAACGUCAUAGGAGCCAACUCUUUGCUACAGAGGGUGGGCCAGAUCCAGCAGCCUGACCCACGAAACUUAAGGCGAAAGAAGGGAUGGGAUACAUUUUGUCCUGGAACUCAGAGUAGAAAGGGUCCUCUCCUGCUAAGUAAUCCUGGCAUACCCCUCUAGCCCGUAUUUUGCCUGUGCCAGCUCCAUGGCACUGCUGAUGGUGACCACGACACUGAGAUGUCCGAAGACACUGACAUCCUACACAGGUAAGUGUCAAGAGUCAUUAGAGAGCAACAAAGGCCUAUUAGUUGGAAAUAUCAGCUAUUCUUUCUCCUUCUGCCAUUCCAUCUCUUAUAAUGAAACAACACACCUUGCUGUGGCUGGUCAAAUGGAACCAAGUCAGGUGUUUCUGUGAGGUUUGGUCCCCUUCAACCAGCUACUGCGCUGUGAAUUCAGCAAGCAACUCCAGCUAAGCGAGAAUCAGCCAUUUCAGUUUUUGUACUGGCUAUAUUAACCAUGCUAUGUGUACGCCGCUGGUAUAUGUGUCAUUUAAGAAGAAUAUAUUUGAAAGUACUGUCUAUUUAUAUAAAGGUGAGAGGAGUGUAUUUUCAUAUAGUAUAUAUAGUUUAUUUGAACAUUGUUAUUGUGUGCAUAAUUAUCAAUGAAUAAAAAUGAUCUUUGUCAUUA